AAAGGUACAGACUAAGCAGGGUCGAGUCUAACGAGUAACAGGCAAGCAGCUUGCUGCUUCGCUGACGAGUGGCGGACGGGUGAGUAAUGUCUGGGAAACUGCCUGAUGGAGGGGGAUAACUACUGGAAACGGUAGCUAAUACCGCAUAACGUCGCAAGACCAAAGAGGGGGACCUUCGGGCCUCUUGCCAUCGGAUGUGCCCAGAUGGGAUUAGCUAGUAGGUGGGGUAACGGCUCACCUAGGCGACGAUCCCUAGCUGGUCUGAGAGGAUGACCAGCCACACUGGAACUGAGACACGGUCCAGACUCCUACGGGAGGCAGCAGUGGGGAAUAUUGCACAAUGGGCGCAAGCCUGAUGCAGCCAUGCCGCGUGUAUGAAGAAGGCCUUCGGGUUGUAAAGUACUUUCAGCGGGGAGGAAGGCGAUAAGGUUAAUAACCUUGUCGAUUGACGUUACCCGCAGAAGAAGCACCGGCUAACUCCGUGCCAGCAGCCGCGGUAAUACGGAGGGUGCAAGCGUUAAUCGGAAUUACUGGGCGUAAAGCGCACGCAGGCGGUCUGUCAAGUCGGAUGUGAAAUCCCCGGGCUCAACCUGGGAACUGCAUUCGAAACUGGCAGGCUAGAGUCUUGUAGAGGGGGGUAGAAUUCCGGGUGUAGCGGUGAAAUGCGUAAAGAUCUGGAGGAAUACCGGUGGCGAGGCGGCCCCCUGGGACAACCACUGA
rnacentral:rRNA from 1 species